rnacentral:rRNA from 1 species
GUGGGGAAUUUUGGACAAUGGGGGCAACCCUGAUCCAGCCAUCCCGCGUGUGCGAUGAAGGCCUUCGGGUUGUAAACUGCUUUUGUACGGAACGAAACGGUCCUGGUUAAUACCCGGGGCUAAUGACGGUACCGUAAGAAUAAGCACCGGCUAACUACGUGCCAGCAGCCGCGGUAAUACGUAGGGUGCAAGCGUUAAUCGGAAUUACUGGGCGUAAAGCGUGCGCAGGCGGUGCUGUAAGACAGGCGUGAAAUCCCCGGGCUUAACCUGGGAAUUGCGCUUGUGACUGCAGUGCUGGAGUGCGGCAGAGGGGGAUGGAAUUCCGCGUGUAGCAGUGAAAUGCGUAGAUAUGCGGAGGAACACCGAUGGCGAAGGCAAUCCCCUGGGCCUGCACUGACGCUCAUGCACGAAAGCGUGGGGAGCAAACAGGAUUAGAUACCCCGGUAGUCC